AGUGAACGCUGGCGGUAGGCCUAACACAUGCAAGUCGAACGGCAGCACAGUAGGAGCUUGCUCUUACGGGUGGCGAGUGGCGGACGGGUGAGGAAUACAUCGGAAUCUACUUUUUCGUGGGGGAUAACGUAGGGAAACUUACGCUAAUACCGCAUACGACCUACGGGCGAAAGCAGGGGAUCUUCGGACCUUGCGCGAUUGAAUGAGCCGAUGUCGGAUUAGCUAGUUGGCGGGGUAAAGGCCCACCAAGGCGACGAUCCGUAGCUGGUCUGAGAGGAUGAUCAGCCACACUGGAACUGAGACACGGUCCAGACUCCUACGGGAGGCAGCAGUGGGGAAUAUUGGACAAUGGGCGCAAGCCUGAUCCAGCCAUACCGCGUGGGUGAAGAAGGCCUUCGGGUUGUAAAGCCCUUUUGUUGGGAAAGAAAAGCAGCAGGUUAAUACCCCGCUGUUCUGACGGUACCCAAAGAAUAAGCACCGGCUAACUUCGUG
rnacentral:rRNA from 1 species